rnacentral:tRNA from 1 species
GAGUAUAUAGCUCAGUUGGUAGAGCAGUGGACUUUUAAUCCAAGGGUCCCAGGUUCAAAUCCUGGUAUACUCA